rnacentral:tRNA from 1 species
GCCUGGUUGGCUCAGUCAUGGAGCAUGAGACUCCUGAUCUUGGGGUUGUGGGUUCGAGCCCCACCUUGGGUG